AACGAACGCUGGCGGCAUGCCUAACACAUGCAAGUCGAACGAGACCUUCGGGUCUAGUGGCGCAUGGGUGCGUAACGCGUGGGAACCUGCCCUUAGGUUCGGAAUAACUCAGAGAAAUUUGAGCUAAUACCGGACAAUGUCUUCUGACCAAAGAUUUAUCGCCUUUGGAUGGGCCCGCGUAGGAUUAGCUUGUUGGUUGGGUAAUGGCCUACCAAGGCGCCGAUCCUUAGCUGGUCUGAGAGGAUGAUCAGCCACACUGGGACUGAGACACGGCCCAGACUCCUACGGGAGGCAGCAGUGGGGAAUAUUGGACAAUGGGCGAAAGCCUGAUCCAGCAAUGCCGCGUGAGUGAUGAAGGCCUUAGGGUUGUAAAGCUCUUUUACCAGGGAUGAUAAUGACAGUACCUGGAGAAUAAGCGCCGGCUAACUCCGUG
rnacentral:rRNA from 1 species